CAUACGGGAGGCAGCCAUAGGGAAUUUUCGGCAAUGGGGGCAACCCUGACCGAGCAACGCUGCGUGAACGACGAAGUAGUCAGGUAUGCAAACUUCUUUUAUCAGGGAAGAAUGGCUUAUGGAAAAGUGAGCGUGACGGUACCUCAUUAAUAAGCCCCGGGUAAAUCUGUUCCAGCAGCCGCGGUAAUAUAUUGGGGGCGAGCGUUCUCCGGAACUAUUGGGUGUAAAGGGGCAGUACGUUCCCGUAUAAGUCUUUGGUGUAAGUGCAAGGAUCACCCAGAUGAUCCUAAAGAAAUUGAAUGGCUUGAGUGUGGUAGAGGCAAGUGGAAUUCCAUGGUAGCGGUAAAAUGCGUAAAUAUAUGGAGGAACACCGGUGCAGAAGGCGGCGAAGUGGGUCACAACUGACACAGAGGCACGAAAGCGUGGGGAGCAAACA
rnacentral:rRNA from 1 species